CGGUGAUUAAUACCGGAUACUCCUUCUUGUUAUAAGACAAGUCGGGAAAGUUUUUCGCUAAGGGAUCAGUCUAUGUUCCAUCAGCUUGUUGGUGAGGUAAUGGCUCACCAAGGCUAUGACGGAUAUCUGGUUUGAGAGGAUGAUCAGACACACUGGAACUGAGACACGGUCCAGACUCCUACGGGAGGCAGCAGUGAGGAAUAUUGCACAAUGGAGGAAACUCUGAUGCAGCAACGCCGCGUGGAGGAUGACGCAUUUCGGUGUGUAAACUCCUUUUAUUAGGGAAGAUAAUGACGGUACCUAAUGAAUAAGCACCGGCUAACUCCGUGCCAGCAGCCGCGGUAAUACGGAGGGUGCAAGCGUUACUCGGAAUCACUGGGCGUAAAGGGUGCGUAGGCUGGCUUUUAAGUCAGAUGUGAAAUCCAAUGGCUCAACCAUUGAACUGCAUUUGAAACUGAAAGCCUAGAGUUCAGAAGGGGCAGAUGGAAUUAGUGGUGUAGGGGUAAAAUCCGUAGAUAUCACUAGGAAUAUCAAAAGCGAAGGCGAUCUGCUGGGAUGAU
rnacentral:rRNA from 1 species